UGAGGAAUAUUGCGCAAUGGGGGCAACCCUGACGCAGCAACGCCGCGUGAGUGAGGAAGGUUUUCGGACCGUAAAGCUCUGUCGAGCGGGAAGAAAUGCAUAGUGGCUAAUAUCCAUCAUGCUUGACGGUACCGCUAAAGGAAGCACCGGCUAACUCCGUGCCAGCAGCCGCGGCAAUACGGGGGGUGCGAGCGUUGUUCGGAAUUAUUGGGCGUAAAGAGCGUGUAGGCGGCCGAAUAAGUCAGAUGUGAAAUCCCUGGGCUUAACCCAGGACGUGCAUUUGAAACUAUUCGGCUGGAGUAGGGGAGAGGAAAGUGGAAUUCCUGGUGUAGAGGUGAAAUUCGUAGAUAUCAGGAGGAACACCGGUAGCGAAGGCGACUUUCUGGCCCUAUACUGACGCUGAGACGCGAGAGCGUGGGUAGCAAACAG
rnacentral:rRNA from 1 species